rnacentral:rRNA from 1 species
UACGAAGGGUGCAAGCGUUACUCGGAAUUACUGGGCGUAAAGCGUGCGUAGGUGGUGAGUUAAGUCUGUCGUGAAAGCCCCGGGCUCAACCUGGGAAUGGCGAUGGAUACUGGCUCGCUAGAGUGCGGUAGAGGAGAGUGGAAUUCCCGGUGUAGCAGUGAAAUGCGUAGAUAUCGAGAGGAACACCAGUGGCGAAGGCGAGCCUCUGGACAAUUCCUGACGCUGAGGCACGAAAGCUAGGGGAGCAAACAGG